rnacentral:rRNA from 1 species
GACGAACGCUGGCGGCGUGCUUAACACAUGCAAGUCGUACGGUAAGGCCCUUUCGGGGGUACACGAGUGGCGAACGGGUGAGUAACACGUGAGUAACCUGCCCACAACUUUGGGAUAACGCUAGGAAACUGGUGCUAAUACUGGAUAUGUGCUCCUGCUGCAUGGUGGGGGUUGGAAAGCUCCGGCGGUUGUGGAUGGACUCGCGGCCUAUCAGCUUGUUGGUGGGGUAGUGGCCUACCAAGGCGGCGAGGGGUAGCCGGCCUGAGAGGGUGACCGGCCACAUUGGGACUGAGAGACGGCCCAGACUCCUACGGGAGGCAGCAGGGGGGAAUGUUGCACAAUGGGAGCAAGCCUGAGGCAGCAACGCCGCGUGCGGGAUGACGGCCUUCGGGUUGUAAACCGCUUUCAGCAGGGACGAAGCUUUUUGUGACGGUACCUGCAGAAGAAGCACCGGCUAACUACGUG